UACAGAGGGGGCGAGCGUUGUUCGGAAUUACGGGGCGUAAAGGGCGCGUAGGCGGCCUUCUAAGUCGAACGUGAAAUCCCCGGGCUCAACCCGGGAACUGCGUCCGAUACUGGGAGGCUUGAAUCCGGGAGAGGGAUGUGGAAUUCCAGGUGUAGCGGUGAAAUGCGUAGAUAUCUGGAGGAACACCGGUGGCGAAGGCGGCAUCCUGGACCGGUAUUGACGCUGAGGCGCGAAAGCCAGGGGAGCAAACGGG
rnacentral:rRNA from 1 species